rnacentral:rRNA from 1 species
GAGUUUGAUCGUGGCUCAGGACGAACGCUGGCGGCGUGCCUAAUACAUGCAAGUCGAGCGGAUCUUCAUUAGCUUGCUUUUGAAGAUCAGCGGCGGACGGGUGAGUAACACGUGGGCAACCUGCCUGUAAGACUGGGAUAACUUCGGGAAACCGGAGCUAAUACCGGAUGAUCCUUUUCCUCUCAUGAGGAAAAGCUGAAAGACGGUUUCGGCUGUCACUUACAGAUGGGCCCGCGGCGCAUUAGCUAGUUGGUGAGGUAACGGCUCACCAAGGCGACGAUGCGUAGCCGACCUGAGAGGGUGAUCGGCCACACUGGGACUGAGACACGGCCCAGACUCCUACGGGAGGCAGCAGUAGGGAAUCUUCCGCAAUGGACGAAAGUCGUGACGGAGCAACGCCGCGUGAGCGAUG